UACGUAGGUGGCGAGCGUUGUCCGGAUUUACUGGGCGUAAGGGGAGCGUAGGCGGACUUUUAAGUGAGAUGUGAAAUACUCGGGCUCAACUUGAGUGCUGCAUUUCAAACUGGAAGUCUAGAGUGCAGGAGAGGAGAAUGGAAUUCCUAGUGUAGCGGUGAAAUGCGUAGAGAUUAGGAAGAACACCAGUGGCGAAGGCGAUUCUCUGGACUGUAACUGACGCUGAGGCUCGAAAGCGUGGGGAGCAAAUAGG
rnacentral:rRNA from 1 species